rnacentral:rRNA from 1 species
GAGAACUGGGUGUCAGCGGGCGGGGUAAUACGAAGGUGUGAAAAGUUGACCGGAAUGUGUGGGCGGCAAUCGCACGGAGGCGGCUUAGCAAGUGCCAUGUGAAAUCCCACGUCGUAACCGUGGAAGUGCAUGGGAAACUACUGAGCUUGAGUACUUAAGAGGAUCGCGGAAUUCCCGGUGUAGAGGUGAAAUUCGUAGAUAUCGGGAGGAACACCAGUGGCGAAGGCGGCGAUCUGGGAAGAUACUGACGCUGAGGUGCGAAAGCGUGGGGAGCAAACAGGAUUAGAUACCCCUGUAGUC